rnacentral:rRNA from 1 species
CCUACGGGUGGCAGCAGUGAGGAAUAUUGGUCAAUGGACGAGAGUCUGAACCAGCCAAGUAGCGUGAAGGAUGACUGCUCUAUGGGUUGUAAACUUCUUUUAUAUGGGAAUAAAAUGUUACACGUGUGGGAUUUUGUAUGUACCAUAUGAAUAAGGAUCGGCUAACUCCGUGCCAGCAGCCGCGGUAAUACGGAGGAUCCGAGCGUUAUCCGGAUUUAUUGGGUUUAAAGGGUGCGUAGGUGGAUUGUUAAGUCAGUGGUGAAAGUGUGAGGCGCAACCGUAAAAUUGCAGUUGAUACUGGCAGGCUAGAGGACAGUAGAGGUAGGCGGAAUGCAUGGUGUAGCGGUGAAAUGCUUAGAGAUCACGAAGAACACCGAUUGCGAAGGCAGUUCACUAGACUGCAACUGACACUGAGGCUCGAAAGUGUGGGUAGCAAACAGGAUUAGAUACCCCAGUAGUC